rnacentral:rRNA from 1 species
ACGAACGCUGGCGGCGUGCUUAACACAUGCCAGUCGCACGGAAAGGCCCUGCUUUUGUGGGGUGCUCGAGUGGCGAACGGGUGAGUAACACGUGAGUAACCUGCCCUUGACUUUGGGAUAACUUCAGGAAACUGGGGCUAAUACCGGAUAGGAGCUCCUGCUGCAUGGUGGGGGUUGGAAAGUUUCGGCGGUUGGGGAUGGACUCGCGGCUUAUCAGCUUGUUGGGGGGGUAGUGGCUUACCAAGGCUUUGACGGGUAGCCGGCCCGAGAGGGUGACCGGCCACAUUGGGACUGAGAUACGGCCCAGACUCCUACGGGAGGCAGCAGUGGGGAAUAUUGCACAAUGGGCGGAAGCCUGAUGCAGCAACGCCGCGUGCGGGAUGACGGCCUUCGGGUUGUAAACCGCUUUCGCCUGUGACGAAGCGUGAGUGACGGUAAUGGGUAAAGAAGCACCGGCUAACUACGUG